rnacentral:rRNA from 1 species
UGGGGAAUUUUGCACAAUGGGGGAAACCCUGAUGCAGCGACGCCGCGUGAUUUAGAAGGCCUUCGGGUUGUAAAAAUCUUUUGUAUGGGAAGAAAAUGACAGUACCAUACGAAUAAGGACCGGCUAAUUACGUGCCAGCAGCCGCGGUAAUACGGAAGGUCCGGGCGUUAUCCGGAUUUAUUGGGUUUAAAGGGAGCGUAGGCCGCGUUUUAAGCGUGUUGUGAAAUGUAGACGCCCAACGUCUGCAUCGCAGCGCGAACUGGGACGCUUGAGUACGCGCAACGUUGGCGGAAUUCGUCGUUUAGCGGUGAAAUGCUUAGAUAUGACGAGGAACUCCGAUUGCGAAGGCAGCUGACGGGAGCGGCACUGACGCUUAAGCUCGAAGGUGCGGGUAUCAAACAGG